rnacentral:tRNA from 1 species
GCGUCUGUAGCUCAACGGAUAGAGCAAUGGUCUUCGGAACCAUUGAUGGGGGUUCGAUUCCCUCCAGACGCA